UCGAUUACUCAAUCGAUUUGGAUAAAAUCAUAGUUCCAGUUCUGAUUAAUGUAUUAAAAGAAUCGAUUGGCAAAUCGAUUCAUGCUUAUAUGAUUCAAGAUUCAAGAAAAACAAGACCUGCGAAAAUCGAUUAGGCAAUCGAUUGCAGAUUAAUCAUUCAUCAGAACAACUUUGAUCAAAUCGAUUGGCAAAUAGAUUUUGUCAAAAUAGCUGAGGUUCUGUAACAAGCACAAUCGAUUGGCAAAUCGAUUCAUGCUUAUAUGAUUCAAGAUUCAAGAAAAACAAGACCUGCGAAAAUCGAUUAGGCAAUCGAUUAAUGGAUCAUGAAAUCGAUUAGGAAAUCGAUUGUCCUGGUGUUUUCUUUGAAUAUAUAUAAGCUGAUUCAAACGUUUUUGAAAAUAACUUUGCACAAAACUUUUGCAUACUUUUCAUAAUCUUUGACAAUCACUUGAUAAACACUUUUGACAGAAAAGUUUUUCACACACACACAAACAUUCAUAGCCCAAAAUACUUUUGUGUGAGAACCAAAA
rnacentral:lncRNA from 1 species